rnacentral:lncRNA from 1 species
UAAAUAAAAUAAUUUACAAUAUAUCGAGGGUUUAAAUGGGGUGUCCGGUCCUAUUUUCACGCUUGUGGCAAGGUUGCGUGGAUGGUUCCUACCGCCUCUCUAAGUGUUAGUCCGUGUUCAAAUAUUUGCAUAGCUGCUUGGAGAGUUCUCGGUUUUUUGUCCAAAUUCGUCCAAUAUCAGGCCGUGGCGUGACUAAUCGACCCCUGCUGCUAAAUACUCCCUCCGUCCUUUACAGUUUCCUUUUUCGGAUGUCCCAUCCAAUUCUUUACAUUCCAAAACUUACCAAAAAUAGUCAAUGGGUCCCAUUACUUCCCAACUUUUCCUCCCUUUUCACACUACUUUUACUCCCUUUUCACACUACUUUUACUCCACUAUCUCUAGUCAUUAAAAAUUGAUGGGUCCCACCACUUCAUCCACUUUUCUUCCUCUUUUCCACUACUUUAUACAUAUUUCUUAACCUCCGUGCCCAAACCAAACGUAAAGAAUUGGCUGGGACGGAGGGAGUAGUUUAUAGUUUAUAGUUCUCUAAGUGAAGUUAUGAUUUUACCGUCUUUCCUGUUGCUCGAAAAAUCUGGUACGAAAUUUGUUUUUA